UACAGAGGUCCCAAGCGUUGUUCGGAUUCACUGGGCGUAAAGGGUGCGUAGGCGGUCGGGUAAGUCUGAUGUGAAAUCUCACAGCUUAACUGUGAAACUGCAUUGGAUACUAUCCGGCUCGAGGAAUGGAGGGGAGACUGGAAUACUUGGUGUAGCAGUGAAAUGCGUAGAUAUCAAGAGGAACACCAGUGGCGAAGGCGGUUCUCUGGGCCUGUACUGACGCUGAGGAGCGAAAGCGUGGGGAGCGAACAGG
rnacentral:rRNA from 1 species